CAGCAGGACUGUGACUUUCUAAGACUGGAAGAGAGGGUGCAGCACUCUUCAGGAGCAUCCAUCUUUAUUCAUCGUGAGAUCUGUCCUGAUGGUGCCAGGACUCAGAGUCUACAGAACAAGCUAGGAAGAAAGGCCAGUGCUGACAGGCUAAGCCUCACCUCCACACCCUCCAUCCUACCACAGUAUUGGCAGUGUGACCGAAGGGGAUGAGGCGUGUAUUAGCUACUUUCUGUUGCUGUGAUAAACCACGAUGACCAAAAGUGACCUGUGGUGGACAGAGCUUAUUUUGGCUUCCAGUUCCAGAGGAAUAGGAGAUCAACACAUCAGGAAAACAUGACAAUGAUCAGCAGAUGCUCGUCAGAAUACAGGAAUGUCUUUCCAGACACAGGGAUCGAGGGCAAGAGAAUCCAGAGGACGGGGUUUGGAUGAAGAAUCAAAAGCCUUUGGGCCUGGCAUGAUGAUACAGACCUGUCAUCCCAGCACGGGAGAGACAGGAGAUCACAAGUUGGAAAGCAGCCGGAGCUAUAUCCAGAAUUCAAGGCCAGCCUGAGCUACACAGGGAGUCACUAUCUCAAAACACAAGACAAAAAGGCUCUUAGACUUGUAAGCAUUCUGACACAAAGGCUUUCUUAACCCUCAUCACCAUCCAAAUGUAAACUCUGCUAUACUUGGGCACCUACAGAACUCACCUUAGGGUGAAGGGGACAGUGAUCCUUGGGCCAACCAAGGGAAGACCUUCUGUAGGAAGUGAUGCCUGACUUCAGUCCAGAGAAAAUAGUGGUCAGAUGAAACUAUGGAGCUGUAUCUAGGCCAAAGGAAUGGUGCAUGAGAAGUGUGGCCAGGCAGGAGCACCUGCAUGUCUGAUUAGUGCACUAAGUUGACAUACAUGCAGUGUUAGUAUGUGUGCUGAAACGGGGAGGGAAGGGGGCAGGCAGAGGAGUGUCUCUCCAAUUA
rnacentral:lncRNA from 1 species